UACGUAGGGGGGCUAGCGUUGUCCGGAAUCAUUGGGCGUAAAGCGCGCGUAGGCGGCCCGGUAAGUCCGUUGUGAAAGUCAAAGGCUCAACCUUUGAAAGCCGAUGGAUACUGCCGGGCUAGAGUCCGGAAGAGGCGAGUGGAAUUCCUGGUGUAGCGGUGGAAUGCGCAGAUAUCAGGAGGAACACCGAUAGCGAAGGCAGCUCGCUGGGACGGUACUGACGCUAAGGCGCGAAAGCGUGGGGAGCGAACAGG
rnacentral:rRNA from 1 species